UAUCUUUUUAAUAUUAACGAUGCUUUGGUUCGUUCUUACAAGAUCCAAAGAAGACCAAACUACAGCUUCUACAAAAAGAACAUAUGUCGUUCACCUGGGUGGUUAUUUAGAAAGAUAAAUUCCAGUGAUGUUAUUAAAUAUGCGUCUAAUGUAAGCACCGCAAGGAGGGGAAGUUGACUCUGGCCACCCUCCAAUUUAGUAGCAUUAGUUUUCAAAGAGAAAUUAUGAGAAAUAACACGUCAACUAAAAACGAAAUAAAACCAAUAGACGCUCAUGUGUGAAUAAAGACGUUGUGCCAAUUGUAUGGGUCAUCCAUGCAAAUUGGGUGACGCCAUCACUAGAAGAGAGCAUGUUGCUACUUAUUUACU
rnacentral:lncRNA from 1 species